UAGCAUAUCAAUAAGCGGAGGAAAAGAAACUAACGAGGAUUCCCCUAGUAACUGCGAGUGAAGCGGGAAAAGCUCAAAUUUGAAAUCUGGCGGUCUUUGGCUGUCCGAGUUGUAAUCUAGAGAAGUGUUACCCGCGUUGGACCGUGUAUAAGUCUCCUGGAAUGGAGCGUCAUAGAGGGUGAGAAUCCCGUCUUUGACACGGACUACCAAGGCUUUGUGGUAUGCUCUCAAAGAGUCGAGUUGUUUGGGAAUGCAGCUCAAAAUGGGUGGUAAAUGCCAUCUAAAGCUAAAUAUUGGCGAGAGACCGAUAGCGAACAAGUACCGUGAGGGAAAGAUGAAAAGAACUUUGGAAAGAGAGUUAAACAGUACGUGAAAUUGCUGAAAGGGAAACGCUUAAAGUCAGUCGCGUUGGCUUGAAAUCAACCUUGCUUUUGCUGGGUGUACUUUCUAGUUGACGGGUCAACAUCAGUUUUGACCAGUGGAUAAAGUCAAUGGGAAUGUGGCUCCUUCGGGAGUGUUAUAGCCCAUAGUCGCAUACAUUGGUUGGGACUGAGGCUCUCAGCACGCCUUUAUGGCCUGGUUUCGACCAAGUUCGUGCUUAGGAUGUUGGCAUAAUGGCUUUAAUCGACCCGUCUUGAAACACGGACCAAGGAGUCUAACAUGCUUGCGAGUAUUUGGGUGGAAAACCCUUGUGCGUAAUGAAAGUGAAAGUUGAGAUCCCUGUCGUGGGGAGCAUCGACGCCUGGACCAGAGCUUUUGUGACGGAUCCACGGUAGAGCACGUAUGUUGGGACCCGAAAGAUGGUGAACUAUGCCUGAAUAGGGUGAAGCCAGAGGAAACUCUGGUGGAGGCUCGUAGCGAUUCUGACGUGCAAAUCGAUCGUCAAAUUUGGGUAUAGGGGCAG
rnacentral:rRNA from 1 species